rnacentral:rRNA from 1 species
ACGUUGAUAGGCCGGGUGUGUAAGCGCAGCGAUGCGUUGAGCUAACCGGUACUAAUGAACCGUGAGGCUUAACCUUACAACGCCGAAGAUGUUG